UAAGGAAUAUUGGUCAAUGGGCGGAAGCCUGAACCAGCCAUGCCGCGUGCAGGAAGACGGCCCUACGGGUUGUAAACUGCUUUUGCAGGGGAAUAAACCCCGGUAUGUAUACCGGGCUGAAUGUACUCUGAGAAUAAGGAUCGGCUAACUCCGUGCCAGCAGCCGCGGUAAUACGGAGGAUCCAAGCGUUAUCCGGAUUUAUUGGGUUUAAAGGGUGCGUAGGUGGUUUUUUAAGUCAGGGGUGAAAGACGGCAGCUUAACUGUCGCAGUGCCUUUGAUACUGAAGAACUUGAAUGAACUAGAGGUAGGCGGAAUGUGACAAGUAGCGGUGAAAUGCAUAGAUAUGUCACAGAACACCAAUUGCGAAGGCAGCUUACUAUGGUUUUAUUGACACUGAGGCACGAAAGCGUGGGGAUCAAACAG
rnacentral:rRNA from 1 species